CACGUACUGUGCGAACGUUAUUCGGAAUCACUGGGCUUAAAGGGUGCGUAGGCGGCCUUGUCAGUCAGGUGUGAAAUCCCACGGCUCAACCGUGGAACUGCGCUUGAAACUGCAAGGCUUGAGUGAGACAGGGGUGUGUGGAACUUCUAGUGGAGCGGUGAAAUGUGUUGAUAUUAGAAGGAACACCGGUGGCGAAAGCGACACACUGGGUCUUAACUGACGCUGAGGCACGAAAGCUAGGGUAG
rnacentral:rRNA from 1 species